UCCCGGGCACAGCGGAGGAAACCAGGCCGUCAGCCCCGUUUCUUCCCCUGCCCUAUUAGCGAGGAGCUGCAGAAACGGCAGAAGAGGCAGCAUGUGUCCUGUUUGCAGCGCUGAAAUGACACCAGGAUGCUUGGGCACAGACGGAGGAUAGCGGAUAGUGCCCCGGUGCGCUGAAGGGCUAAACUAGGAUCACUGCUACUGUAAAGCCUUAUGCAGUGCUUCACAGUUGUGUGCAUGAUCUGGUAGGAUGGUGAGACUACCACGUUUUCCUUGGACAAGUAUCAGAACUUCAACUUGAACAAGCUGGGAUUAAGUUUUACUCAUUUUAGAAGAGCAUUCCCAUCCAACAUAUGUACAAGACAGUUUGAAGAAGCACACUGCUUAAAUUGACAAUGAUUUAUUGUGUUUAGGAACAUUCAAUAAACACCAAUCUUUUACCUU